rnacentral:rRNA from 1 species
GAGUUUGAUCGUGGCUCAGAUUGAACGCUGGCGGCAUGCCUUACACAUGCAAGUCGAACGGCAGCACGGGAGCUUGCUCCUGGUGGCGAGUGGCGAACGGGUGAGUAAUGCAUCGGAACGUAUCCUGGAGUGGGGGGAUAACGUAGCGAAAGUUACGCUAAUACCGCAUAUUCUGUGAGCAGGAAAGCGGGGGACCUUCGGGCCUCGCGCUCUUGGAGCGGCCGAUGUCGGAUUAGCUAGUUGGUGAGGUAAAGGCUCACCAAGGCGACGAUCCGUAGCAGGUCUGAGAGGAUGAUCUGCCACACUGGAACUGAGACACGGUCCAGACUCCUACGGGAGCAGCAGUGGGAAUUUUGGACAAUGGGGGCAACCCUGAUCCAGCCAUGCCGCGUGAGUGAAGAAGGCCUGG